ensembl:lncRNA
CCAUUUUAGACACAGAGUCUGCUGAGCUGGUGUAUACACCUUAAAUAAAUCAUCCUGACUCCCAGUUGGUCUUCCUGUCUCUUGGAAUUCUGCAACAAUGUGGUGUCAGGAUUAAACGAGAUUCAAGAUCUACAGUCUACAGCCUGUCCCCAGCACGGAGCUAGUGUAAUGAUGCUUAUUACAGGUCCCAUCUGUGUACACGGUAUCUAUGGCAGUUGAGUCCGGGGGACUUAGUAAGGGGGACCAGGAGGCACCUAGAAGUGGGCCCCUUCUACCUGUCUAACCUGGGCCUGGGCAAGGGGAAGAAAAGCAAUCUCUUCCUUUUGCAAGGAAAUGAGUACAGAGGUACUUGGACCCUGACUCUUUCACAGCCCCAGAUGCAGGGAGACAGGGCCCCUUCCACCUCAUAGUCUCCUCACUCUGCGCGAGGACUUAUCUCGCUGCAAGCCCGGGGUGGGUGGGGAGAGGCAUUAGAAGCUGGCAGCCCGCUCCCCGCUUCCGGAUGCGCGGGACCUGCCGGCGUCGGCGGUGAGAAUGGUGCUGACGGAUGGCUUCGCCUCCCCGCAGCCUCGCGCAGCAGCUCGGUACCAGCGCUCCAUCCCCGCCGCCCGCAGCGCCGCGACGCCUUCUUCUCACCCAUCUCGGGGACCCCAGUCAUAACUGACAUUUAAAGGAAAUAAACAUGGACUUUAAA